CCUGGAAGGUCCAAAACUUCAACCAGUAUAAACAUUAUACACAGCACUUGCAUGAAUUUUAAGAGCUAAGUUUGGUUGCUUUACCCCUCCAGCCUCACUUUGUUCAAACCUCUGUCGUUGUUUAAUACUGCCACUUUCCUGUGCUCUCCAUCCCCUCUCCCACCCUGACUUCAUGCAAAUCCAGGAUUGUGAUGCAGCAGCACAAAUCCUCCAACAGCAGCUGUGCAAAGACAGCCUUACAAGUUUAUGUAUAUAGGUAUGUGUGUGUGUGUAUCCUAGAUCCCUAGGUUACUUAGCACCAAACACAGCAAUUAUAUCAGUAAUGAAUUUGUCCAUCCAUGUCAAAUAAUAAAACGUUUUAGUGAUAUAGGUAUGUAUGUAUCAGGCUCAGAGUACCUAUUUAGCAUUCAACAGACUAACUUGCCUUCCAAGGUUUUGGCACGCUUUUCCCUUUCAAAUUAAUUUGUGUGUUAAUCCCUUGCAAGAAAUCAAUUUGAGUCCAAAAGCUCAUUAGUUUGAAUAUAUAUUUUUAAUUAGAGUAUGGUUAGCUUUGCUUUUUUAACUCCACCAAUUUCCCCCCCCAAAGUGAGCAAGCAUCUGGGCAGUAGAAUAACAAUGGGUUUGGGUUUGUUGUUCUUUGCUGCCACUCCCUUUUCUUCCAGUUGCCCCUCUUGUUUCUUAGUGGCAGUCUGAGAUUGGAAGUGUUAUCUCUAAGUGGGUGUGCUUGAAUAAUCCACAUUUGGCUCCAGAAUAUGGCAUGGAUCCUAAAAUGACUGUAUAGAAGGAAAUCACAGAAGGAAAGUGUCCCAUCCUUCCAUCCCACUGCAAUCACUGGCACUCCCUGAAAAGCCUCUCCAGAGGGCAAUGGGGACCCCCCUGAAAAAUAUGGAGUGGGAGAAAGGAGCUAAUAGGGGAGGGGGAAUCAACCAAAAUCAAGCAGAGAUUCUCCAAAUUUUGGCUGAUUCUCCUCUCCCACUGUACUCCCGCCCCAUUAUUAUUCAGAAGGGCCACAAUCCUCUGGAGAGGCUUUUCGGGGAUUCAGGCAGGUGCCUUUUGUUCACUUAUCUUAGAAUCGGAGCCUAUGAGAGCAAUCUUGUGCACACUUACGUGCGAGUAAAUUCCACUGGACACAGUGGAACAUAAAAAGGUAAAGGACCCCUGACAGUUAAGUCCAGUCGCGAAUGACUCUGGGGUUACAGCGCUCAUUUUGCUUUACUGCUGAGGUAGCCGACGUUUGGCGGCAGACAGUUUUUCCGGGUAAAGUGGCCAGCAUGACUAAGCCGCUUCUGGUGAAACCAGAGCAGCGCACGGGAAUGCCGUUUACCUUCCCGCCAGAGCAGUACCUAUUUAUCUACUUGCACUUUGAUGUGCUUUCAAACUGCUAGGUUGGCAGAAGCAGGGACCAAGCAACAGGAGCUCACCCCAUCGCGGGGAUUCGAACGGCCGACCUUCCGAUCGGCAAGCCCAAGGCUCAGUGGUUUACACCACAGUGGCACCCGCGUCCCUAUAUAGUGGGACAUACUUCUGAGUAAAUAUGCAUAGGAUCCUGCAGCAUAGCAACCAGUUGUGCUUCAAUGGAACCUGAACAAUUCACAUUUUUGGAAGAACCCAGUGAACUGCGGUUGGUGGAAACUUAGUUGAUGAAACCUUGCAAGAGGAUAGAAGUGGAGUAGGUUUCUUUGAAGAUAAGGGACUCAAAGAGCAAAUUGAUGAGUGAAGCAACCCAGGAUGUUUUAGUAAAACUGGGGAGACUUGCUUGCAAGCAGUAGCUUGGGAGGAACAGAAGGGAAGAACUGAACUCCUCCUAUUAAGUUAUUUCCAGUUAUCCUUUCAAGUGUCUCUUGCUGUGAGUCAUCCUCAAUUUUGCAAAAGUCCUGGUUUCUUUUUAUGUGUUGAGAAUGAGAUUGUCAAGGGGUUAAGAGGAGGACAUGAGGCUUUGGAAAGAGGAACAGCUUUUUAAAAAACGAAAACAGUUCGAGAUUUCUUGUAAAAGGAUAUUGAAAAUGUGUGUGGCCAGCCCAAAUGGUCUUUUUUUGCUACUCUUUCCCACUACAUUAUAAUUCCACAUUGCCCAAAUAGUUUUUCUUUUAAAACAGAAGCAGAUUUGGGAAGUGAAGGAGCAUCUGGCAAGUAGCAUUUAACUAUAAGAAAAUAAAAAAAGUUCAGCUGGAUCCAAAGGCCGCCUGGUCCAACAUUCUGUUCUCACAGUAGCCAACCAGAUACCUAUAGGAAGUCUAACAAAGGACCUUAGUUACCACAGCAUUGUUCCCAGUUAUGAUUCUGAGAAACUGGAAUUCAGAGGUAUACAGUGGUACCUCUGGUUAAGAACUUAAUUCGUUCCGGAGAUCCGUUCUUAACCUGAAACUGUUCUUAACCUGAAGCACCACUUUAGUUAAUAGGGCCUCCCGCUGCCGCCGCGCGAUUUCUGUUCUCAUCCUCUUAACCUGAGGUACUGUUUCUGGGUUAGCGGAGUCUGUAAUCUGAAGCGUCUGUAACCUGAAGCGUCUGUAACCCGAGGUACCACUGUACUGCCUCCUGCAGUAAAGCAUAACGGUUGUAGCUGCUAUUCACUGAUAGCCUUCUUCUCCAUGAAUUUGUCUAAUCCUUUUUUAAAGCCAUCCAAACUGAUGGCCCUCACUGCAUCUUGUGGGAACAAAUUAUGUAGUUUAACUAUGUGCUCUGUGAAGAAGCACUUUCUUUUCUGUCUUGAACCUUCCAAAAUUCAGCUUCAGUUGAUGGCCCCAGGUUCCAGUAUUAUGAGAGAGGGAGAAAAAGCUGUUUCUAUCCUCUUUCUGCACACAUGCAUUUGGAACUUUUGCUGGAGAAAAACAGCUAAUUUGGAGUAGAAAAAAUUACCAGUAGAGAGAGAUAAGCGCUGUGGUUUCCCUUGAAAGAGGUUCCUGUUUUUCUGCCUCAUUCACUGGGUGUUUCUUUACAAUUUUGGUGGGUGCCGGGUUGCGCUUACCAUAUAAUUUCAAAGUAGACAACAUGUGUGAGUGUGUCGCUCUCUGUGUCUGUUUCUUUCCAUUCAACAGUUCUCCAGUGCUCUGCAGCUUCUCUGGCUAUCUGUGUUUCCUGGGCUUGUUUGUUCAUACAACUCCAACUACCUGCAUGACACUUCCAAAAGUAUUAGAGGAGAAGUCCCUGCACUGAGGAACAUCCAAUUGAUAAUUCACCACGGGGGAAACAACAGAGGAAUCAGGAAAAUGGAAGCAGGUAAUCUGGCCUACGUUUUAUAGAGUCUGCAGACUUCUGAAAAUGGCAAACAUAUGUUUUUCCUUGUGUCAGCUUGAGAUUUGGAGUCCAUUUAUUCCUAGUGCUUCCAAACGGGACCUUAAUGUUCAAACAAAUCACUGAGGUAUCAUAAAAUAGUCAUUGACAAUAAGGUUUUGUUUUGUACUGUACUAAUAAUAUUUUAAGAUGUAUUGGAUUGCUCCCCAAAAGGGUAAAUUCUGAUUAAAUGCAGGGGAAAGAUGCUAGGUGACUUUUAAAUGCCAACAAUGUUGUUUUGGCCAUGCAAGAAACUUGCAUGCAGGAGGCACGCCGAUCCUACAUUAAGCACCAGUUUGGAAGCACCUUCAGUCUCUGUUCUGUUUUCUUUCUGUCAUAUUCUCUAAUUCUUUGAGUUUUAGAUUAUUUUCUGAAAAACGAGAGUUGUUACUCGCUUUGGUCAAUAAGAAAAAAGAAAUUAAAGGAAGCCUGUAUUUGUUGAAGCUGAAUUCAAAUACUGAGAGUUGUAUUUUAUAGAAAAUAAAUGGAAAUCUUUUGUGUUCAAUUUGAAAUUUCCUUUCUCUUUUUUUUAAAAAAAAGUCAUUUCUCUAGAAUGAUAUUUUGUCAGUAAUCGAGUCAGAAUAAUAUGUCCAUUAUUUUAAUACUUUGAUCACAAGCCACAAAGCAGAGAUUUGGAGUUAUUGACUGUUUUGCUUACUUUGGUGUUUCAAAAACUAUCUCUAAAGGAGGAGCAGGAUUUAAUUCUCUGCCAGUUGGAUCAUCAGCGUCUGCAUUCAGAUGGCUAACAGGUUUGUUUGGGGCUUUCAUAGAAUAAAAAUGGAUGUGCUGCAUGCUGAAUUUUGAUUAUGAAAACAUUUUGACAGAUGUUUCCAGACAGACAUGAAAGAAUUAGACCCUUUUAUCACCGCAAAAAAAUAACAACAAAACCCUGAGGUGGUUUCAGUUUACAUGCUCAAGAUUCUUUUAUCAAAUCUAUUACCCAUUUUCUUGCCUGGGUGUGCAAAAUUUGCUUGUGAUGAUCACCAACUGAAAUUAAUUCUUAAGUAUUAGUGUGUAUAGUUGAGAAUUUAAGUGCUGUAUUGUCCAGUGGUUAGAGUUCUGAGAAUAAAAUGGGGUGAUAGCUUGCUUCUUAAAAGGGCUUUUACAGUGUAUUAUUACACUGUAAGGAAAGUAUGGUAUUUUCAGUCACAAACCUACAGUUCCAAGUGCUGCACACACUGUUUAAAUCACCUGGGAGUCAAUGGGAUUUAAGCCUCAUAACUAUGUUCAAGAUUACUCCCUAACAUAAUAAAUUAGUCUAUCAGUACAUACUCUUUCUUGGAAGUAAGUGCCACAAAGCUCAAUGGGGCUUGCUCCCAGGUAGAUAGCAUAGAAUUGCUGUCUUAAUUAGCUUUCCUUUUUGACCCAUAAAAAAUCAGAAUAAGGGUGAUUUAAAAAGGACAUUGACUUGUCAGGAGUCACCACAUUUUCAACUUUUAUUUAAUAGAUCUUGUCUACAUUGAAGUGAGCUAUUACAGCUGCCCGAAAAGAAAGCACUGUUUGAUGUCUGUAAGCAUAGUCAGCAAUCAAUAAUUUGAAAUUUGUGCCAUUUGUACCUUUAAAAACUGGCACGUCGUUUUUUAUUCCAUUUAAUCUGCUUACUGUAGAUGAAAGUGGGGGUUGAACUGAUGCCACAAAGAACAUUUACUCAUGAAAUGGUGCUCGUUUAUCCAGCAGUAAGUAUAUCAUUUUGACAUUUAUUUGCAAUAUUAAUUGUACUUAUUGAUUAAAUUUUUGCACAUAUUGUAAAUUGAUU